rnacentral:sRNA from 1 species
AUUAUACAGUUUAUUUUUAUGGUUCCAUAGUAUUGUUUUCUCCAAGAAGCAGGGCAAAUUAAAAAUAAAAACAUAAUUUUUUUUAUAACUACACAGAAACCUGUACAUUUUUUAAAAAAUUAUCUUUGUUUAUUUUGUUUAUUAGGACAAAUUAUUGGAUUCCAGCACAGUGACUCACUUAUUCAAGAUAACUGAAAACAUUGGUUGUGUGAUGACCGGAAUGACAGCUGACAGCAGAUCCCAGGUACAGAGGGCACGCUAUGAGGCAGCUAACUGGAAAUACAAGUAUGGCUAUGAGAUUCCUGUGGACAUGCU